rnacentral:lncRNA from 1 species
GGUGGUGCACGGCAAACAUCCACUUUCCUGCAUCGCCUCAAACAGCUCCUCCGACUUAUUGUGAUGGCCAUGCUUACUAUGGCAAUCUAUUAGCGUGUUCCAUGUAACAGUAUCAGGCUCAAUUCCGUCCAAUUUCAUCCUUUCAAAUGUAGACAUUGCAUGAUCCAAACAAUUGUACUUCCCAAAAGUAUCAAUCAUUAUGUUGUUGAGUGUAUCAGGCUCAAUUCCGUCCAAUUUCAUCCUUUCAAAUGUAGACAUUGCAUGAUCCAAACAAUUGUACUUCCCAAAAGUAUCAAUCAUUAUGUUGUAAAAUUGCCUAUCAGGAUUCACCCCACUAUUCUUCAUUUCUUU